UCUUUCACACCUCAACUAAAUAGUUAUUCACAUGGCAGCUUUGAAAGCUUCUGGGUUUAUCAGUGGAAAAAAACGGUUGGAAAGUUUGGAAAGGAGUUAUUAAGAACUGAAGUCAGUUCUAUCAGCACUUUUUUUUUUUUUUUGGCUGGGGCUUGUUCUCACAGAACUUCAAGCUGGAUUAUUUGUAUUAAACUUCCUGACUGAAUUCCAAACAAGUCAUCUUUCCCCUCAACAGUGACCUUUAGUACGAGGCCAGAAUAAUUUUAAUUUGUUUCAAGUUUCCCUUAUAAACCAGAGAACAAGAAACAAAAUCUCUCAAAGGCCCAGCUCGCUAGUUCCAUGGCAAAAUCCUCUCCAGUUUGGGGGGGGUGGGGAGGGGGGCAAUAAGUUGGAGUUGGGUAUUCCAGUCUGACAUCAAACUGCGUGCUUCCAGAGCAUAGAACAGUGAAAACUGCAGGGAAGGAAUGGCUUUAAAGAAUGGUGUUAACUAACCUGUCUUUAACUAGAGCAAUGCCCUGGUGGAAGAACUGCAGGUCUUAUUCUUGACUCUCCUGUUGGAUGCUUCUGCCCAGAGCAGAAGUGAUGUCUUAGGCUGUCAUUUGCUGAAUGCUCACCCUUUAUUACUCCUGGUUUCCUUCCCAGACAAGCAUCAGGUAAUUGAUCUAUCUGGGUGCCAACUGGUUUUAUUCUUCUUCAUCUUCUUCUUCUCCUUUUUUUUUUUUAAUUUCUUUGCUGGAUUAGUUCUUAUACAGAUCAGUUGUUUGAUUCCCUGAUCUGGUCCACUGCAUGGCUUCUUGAUUGUCUGUGCCAGCACAUGGGAGGAGGCAGUGUGAGCAAAGGAGCAAGUGACUUGGAGGGAGCACACCAUGCUGAUUCUUUCAUAGCCACGAUUGGAUAUGAGGACAGGAAGUCUUGGCCCUAUGAUGGCAAGGAAUCACUGAGAAAAAGCAAAUCUGAGAGAUUCCCAGAUAGGAAGAGAAUAUAGCGAAGUAGCUGGAGAGCCUGAGCUGGGAGGGCCUGUAGGGUAAGGGGAGCAGCUUAGGUACCCUUACAAAUAAUCAGAUUUACUCACUGCUCGGCUUAGGCCAGCAGUGUAGAGGAGAAGUCCCACAGAUAAUAACUGCCUGAGAAUCCCUGGUCACUCGCCAUGUCUUUUGCAGGAUGUCCUUCUUACCCUUGGUUUAUUAGGAUAAAAAUGCUUUUCCUGUAUGCACAGUUCAUGGGCUGUUCUGUUCUUAGACUUGCUGCUGCACAUAACUGGAAGUGCAGGGUCUUGACUUCUGCAAAGAGUUGGCUUUUGUUCUUCCUUGCCAGACACUUAGUCCCAAGUAUUUAUGGGACUGCAGAGGACAAGUCCCAGGAGUUGGCAAGUGAUUUUUUCCAGCACUAGGUGGCUCUAUGGAGUUCUGCAGCAUCCUGGACAGAAACGUUUAAAAAGUUAAGGGUUGGCAGCUGGCAAGCUAUGUACAGUCCUGCUCACCUGUUCUUUACUCCUGUUUAAGAUGUCAGCAUUGCUGAAUCCCUGCAGUAUCCUCUCUACAGAUCUGCUUUUUUGGGGGGCUGCAUGUUCAUAUGCAAUGUUGCAACUGAAGAUUAAGCUCAGAAAACUGCAAGCCUCCAGCUUCGUGUUCCCCAGUUGUACCUGCUCAGCCUGCAAGUUCAGCUGCUGGAGAUCCUUAGGCCUGGGGUGCAAACAGAGCCAUAAGAUUUUUGGGGAAGAUCAUAUUGAAGUUACUCAGUGCAAUGUGGAAGAAGCGGAGGAAAAAAUGCAGCAACUCUCAGGUGAACUCCCUGGCAUAGCCAGGUGUGGAGGAGCACUACCACUGCCAUCAUCUCGGAAGAUGGUGGUGCGCUUCUUGCUGCAGGACACCAGUGCCCCUUUUUACCUCAUUCUAUUAAGGAAGCUCUGUGGAAAUCUUCCAGGAUCUAUGUCGACUACUAGAGCUGGUGUGAAGUUAAAAGUAUGGGCAGCAGUGAUCCAGACAGCUGGUGUUUUGGAAAGAAACCUAUAACACCAAAUUGUUAAUACCUGUCAAACUGGGAUGAUCAGAAAAUGCAGUAGAGGUAGGAAUGAGCCUGCAAAUCCAGCUUCCUCAAUGACACACCCAAGGGAAUAUUUAAGGCAUCCACUCUUGGCCACAGCUGAUGAGGAAAUACCAUGCUGAUGCAUCUUUUGCCUGAUAGAUCUAACUGCUCUUGCAGGUCUGCUGUGUGUGUGGUAAACAUGCCCAACUGUGCUGUGAAGCUGGAGGCGGAGCUUCAGA